rnacentral:rRNA from 1 species
UACGUAGGGGGGCUAGCGUUGUCCGGAAUCAUUGGGCGUAAAGCGCACGUAGGCGGUUCGUUAUGUCGGAUGUGAAAGCCCUUGGCUUAACCGAGGAAGUGCAUCCGAAACUGGCGAGCUAGAGUACUAAAGAGGAUCGCGGAAUUCCCGGUGUAGAGGUGAAAUUCGUAGAUAUCGGGAGGAACACCGGUGGCGAAGGCGGCGAUCUGGGUAGAUACUGACGCUGAGGUGCGAAAAGCGUGGGGAGCAAACAGG